GAUGAACGCUGGCGGCGUGCUUAACACAUGCAAGUCGAACGAACCUUCGGGUUAGUGGCGGACGGGUGAGUAACGCGUGGGAAUCUGCCCUCAGGAGGGGGAUAACGGCUGGAGACGGCCGCUAAUACCCCAUAUGCCGAGAGGUGAAAUGAAUUUCGCCUGAGGAUGAGCCCGCGUCUGAUUAGCUAGUUGGUGAGGUAAGAGCUCACCAAGGCAUCGAUCAGUAGCUGGUCUGAGAGGAUGAUCAGCCACACUGGGACUGAGACACGGCCCAGACUCCUACGGGAGGCAGCAGUGGGGAAUUUUCCGCAAUGGGCGAAAGCCUGACGGAGCAACGCCGCGUGAGGGAUGAAGGCCUCUGGGCUGUAAACCUCUUUUCUCAAGGAAGAAGAUCUGACGGUACUUGAGGAAUAAGCCACGGCUAAUUCCGUGCCAGCCGCCGCAGUAAC
rnacentral:rRNA from 1 species